GAUGAACGCUGGCGGCGUGCUUAACACAUGCAAGUCGAACGGUUAAGGCGGAGCUUGCUCUGCUGGAUCAGUGGCGAACGGGUGAGUAACCCGUGAGCAAUCUGCCCCUGACUCUGGGAUAAGCGCUGGAAACGGCGUCUAAUACUGGAUACGAGCGGCGAAGGCAUCUUCAGCAGCUGGAAAGAACGUAGGUCAGGGAUGGUCGCUCGGUCUACUAGCUUGUUGGUGAGGUACCGGCUAACCCAGUCGUCGACGGGUAGGCGGCCUGGGAGGGGGAACAGGCACACGGGGACUAAGGCACGGCCCAGACGCGAACAGGGGGCAACAGGGGAAAAUAUUACACAGUGGGGGAAAGCGUGAUGAGACGACGCCGGGUUAGGGACGACGGCCUUCUGGUUGUAAACCUCUUUUAGCAGGUAAGAAGCGAAAGUGACGUUACCUGCAGAAAAAGCGCCGGCUAACUACGUG
rnacentral:rRNA from 1 species